GUUGACCUCCCAGAGCCUCCUUUCCCCAGCCCUCCAUUUCCUGGGUCAAAGGUCRUCCACAGGAGGAAGAAGAGACAGGCCCCGCGGGUUGGAGGCAGUGUGGCCGAGGAGACCAAGUACAUCGAGCUGAUGGUGAUCAAUGACAUUCGAAUGU